rnacentral:rRNA from 1 species
UACGGAGGAUGCAAGCGUUAUCCGGAUUUAUUGGGCGUAAAGCGUCCGCAGGUGGUUAUGCAAGUCUGCUGUCAAAGCGCGAGGCUUAACUUCGUAAAGGCAGUGGAAACUGUGUGACUAGAGGAUGGUAGGGGUAGCGGGAAUUCCCAGUGUAGCGGUGAAAUGCGUAGAUAUUGGGAAGAACACCAGCGGCGAAAGCGCGCUACUGGGCCAUUACUGACACUCAUGGACGAAAAGCUAGGGGGAGCGAAAAGGGG